GACGAACGCUGGCGGCGUGCCUAAUACAUGCAAGUCGAACGCAGUUCCGAACGGUUGAGUCACGCGUAGGUAACUGCCUCAUAGCGGGGGAUAACUAUUGGAAACGAUAGCUCAUACCGCAUCCUGUGUGAUGGACCUGCGUUGUAUUAGCUAGUUGGUGAGGUAAAGGCUCACCAAGCCGACGCUACAUAGCCGGCCUGAGAGGGUGAUCGGCCACACUGGGACUGAGACACGGCCCAGACUCCUACGGGAGGCAGCAGUAGGGAAUCUUAGGCAAUUGACGGAAGUCUGACCGAGCAACGCCGCGGGAGUGAAGAAGGUUUUCGGAUCGUAAAGCUCUGUUGUUAGAGAAGCGGUAACUAACGAGAAAGGGACGGCUAACUACGUGCCAGCAGCCGCGGUAAUUC
rnacentral:rRNA from 1 species